rnacentral:rRNA from 1 species
CUGGCGGCGUGCUUAACACAUGCAAGUCGAACGGAGCUUAGAAGGAAGCUUGCUUCAUUAAGCUUAGUGGCGGACGGGUGAGUAACGCGUGAGUAACCUGCCCUUGAGAGGGAAUAACAUCGAGAAAUCGGUGCUAAUACCGCAUAAUGUCGGAGUACCGCAUGACAUUCCGACCAAAGAUUUUAUCGCUCAAGGAUGGACUCGCGUCCGAUUAGCUGGUUGGUGAGGUAACGGCCCACCAAGGCUUCGAUCGGUAGCCGAACUGAGAGGUUGAUCGGCCACAUUGGGACUGAGACACGGCCCAGACUCCUACGGGAGGCAGCAGUGGGAAUAUUGGGCAAUGGGCGCAAGCCUCGACCCAGCAACGCCGCGUGAAGGAUGAAGGUCUUCGGAUUGUAAACUUCUUUGAUUGGGGAAGAAUAAAUGACCUACCCAAAGAACAAGCCACGGCUAACUACGUGCCAGCAGCCGC